GGAGGAUUCGCCUAGUGGCCUAGGGCGCACGCUUGGAAAGCGUGUUGGGGGCAACCCCUCGCGAGUUCGAAUCUCGCAUCCUCCGCAA
rnacentral:tRNA from 1 species